GGAAAAAUUUAGAGACACGGUUUUCUCAAGGCGAUAUAUUCAAAAUCUCCGAUCUUCAAGACGAUCUCACCAACCUGCAUCAAGGUACNGACAACCACUCUUUACCGAUGCCCUGGGGACUUUCGAUCAAUUGACGCAAGAAUCCAUCUCCAUGAGUCCUCUGUCGUGGUUCUUUUUAAAAUCGUGGUUUCCGAGAAUUAGAGAAACUCGCACUACCUCUCGUCACCUCGUCUCAAUUCAAUUUUGUGGAAGUUGAUAUAAUGCAUCAGGUUGUUUUGGUAUUAAAACUUUAGAUCACAACGAUUUUUUAAUCCUCAAGGCGAUAACUAUUCGAAUAAUCUCCGAUCCUUCAAUGACGUAUCUUACCCAACCAUGCAUCAAGAGUUAUGGAGUAGUUAUGCAACCCUCCCCGUUAAAUUGGUAUCGCUCCCGACACCCAAGCGUUUAUUCCAACCAGCAUAUUACCUCGGUAUAACCCCUCCUUCCGUUACAACACCUCUCUUUUGGGAACAAGCGUCAUUGACCAUAGUUUCGACCACACUCCCGGGAUGCACUCCUCACUUAGAUACUAUUCAAUGACACACGAUGUGCCUGUUUCCUGAGACUGUCCGUCGGGAACUCUUGUCCUCCUCAUCAUAUUCAAAGUCAAGGAUCGGGCUCAGCUUCAGGUUUACUUAGCCGCCUCUUACAACCUAAUCAAUUCUCUACGGUUCGCUCUCAGAUUCUUCUGUUGGAUCCUCUCCCCUCCCUGACAGGACUUUCUCCAUGGUUCUUGGAGGAAAGACGUUCCACCACCAUCCCUGUUGAAUCACCAGACCACCUUCAUUAGCUAUGCAAUUUCAACCUUCUAACAACUAUGGGGCGAGCUCGCAGCCGCGGCAAUGGUUCUUCUCGCGGGGUCGCCGAACCGCUCCUUUCCGGUCGUUGGGCUCUUCACCGCAUAUGCACUCAUUGUGGUGCGUAACAAUCACACCAUCGAUACUGGCUUCAUGAAACACGGCUACCCCUCCCGGUUUAUCAAUACAAAAGCCAAAAGUCAUACUCCAUCAACAACGCUAUGGCUUCUCCUUCGCUCGAAACUCCGUGUUGAUUCUAACUUCUUUGUACCCUCUAUUUGCUACCAGAUUCAGAGUCAAUAUAACCAGAUUCUACAAAUGCUUCAACUCAUCCCUCGUCUGCUUCCGCUCCUACGACCUCUGAUGCCACUCCUCUACCUAACUUAAACUCUGUUUCUUCCUCUCAUCGAUGGUAAGCCAACCUGGUUGAUAUUGGGGUAAUUGAUACGGUAGCUAACUUGCAUCACAUCAUCCAAUUCGCAAUUUCUUUCUACUCCCCCCAUCAUGACUCAAUUGCAACAUACCAGAUACCCAAUAGAACAAACACAGAGACUACUCCACUCAACAAAAACAAAAGAGUGCUCCGACAAGACUCCUAUGAACUCAUAUCGUUAAAAACAUUGAAUGUUAAAUGACAUGCUGGCACGGUUCAUCUAUCUAAAUCCUUAAUUCUCUCUAAUGUUUAUUAUUAUACCUACUUUUCAUGUUAAUUUUAAUAUCUGCUACAAAAAUUUAUAGAUUCUUCUGGCUGUACCUUACUUUACUAACAAAGAUUGUCUAUUAUGCAGAAAAACUCUACAGAGAACGAUUGGUUUAGCUGAAGACGAUACGAGAUCUUUAUGUGCUAAAGUCCAGGCCAUCCCAUCUCCUUCUCAUUUACCUGUAAUUCUGUCCAUCAUUCUAACUUUGAUUUAUGGCAUAGAAGAUUAGGUCACCCUUCUUCUAAUGUUCAUAAAAUCUUAGCUUCUCAUGUCCGUUGUUACUUACACAUUAAAUAAAAAUUCUCCUUGUCAUCUUGUCACAUUUCUAACAAAAAGCGCUUACCAUAUGAUAGUAUUACUCAAUCUAUUAAACCUUUUGAUCUUCUUCAUGCUGACAUUUGGGGUCCUUUGCUACCCCUUCCAUAUGUAAUCAACGAUAUUUCUAACUCUUGUUGACGAUUUCUCUAGGUUUACUUGGGUUUAUCUUCAUGACCCACAAAGUGAAACUAGGUCUCAUGAUGCAUUUUAUCACCUUCACAACACAGUUUUCUACUACUUAAAAUGUUUGCUCACUGACAAUGGUCCUGAAUUUUUGAUGACUGAUUUUUACAAAUCUAAAGGAUCUACACCAAAGGUUCUUGUGUUGAAUGUCCUCAAACAAAAUGGAAUUGUUGAACGAAAACAUCAACACAUACUUAAUGUGGCAAGAUCUCUUUUCUUUCAAUCUCACAGUCCUCAAAAUUUAUGGCAUUUAUCUAUUGCUCAUGCUAUACAUCUCAUUAAUCGACUCCCUCCACCUAGUUUUAAUCAUAACACACCUUAUUUAUCUUUUAUAUAACAAAUGCUGGACUAUGAUAUUGAAAUGUUUUGGCUGCCUUGCGUAUCCUCACACUCUUCUCAAUACUCGUACCAAGUUUUCUCCCUCGGUCUCGCAAUUGUGUGUUUUAGGUUAUAAAGAGAACCAAAGGCUAUCUCUUGUUAUGUUAACCGCUAACUGUCUAUUUUGUUUCAAGGAAUGUAACCUUUCAUGAAAACUCAUUUCCCUUAAAAAACCUCAUGAUCAUCUCAAUCUCCCUCCCAUACCUACUAUCCACCUAACCCUACUGACCUAGAAAAACAAACAAAAAACACACUUAAAUAAUUAUAUUAUGUACCCUCUUGAACCUUAUCAAUCUUCUUUUCUCCUCUCCUACUUGAAGCCGUAGACCCUCCAUCAACCCACCUUUCUCCCAUUCCUUAUGUCACCACCUGCUCCUCCUCUUGCCAUUUUUCUCUCAUCUACCUCUUCUCCACUCUUCCUACUCUCUCCUCUCUAUUCAUAUACCCUCCUAAAAACUGGAUCAAUAUUUUCUCUAGACUCCCCUUUCAACCACCUGUCCGUCGCUAUCUAAUAUUUCCCCUUAUCCCUUCCAAACCAUUGUCUUGUUCAAUUAAAACUCCCCACUCCACCAUCCACCCCUUCCGGGAUAAAUUCCAAUUAUAUUGUUAAUACAAGCAUCCAAAAAAACCUCAUUACUUUCUUUGAGACCAUUACCAGUGCAAUCUCUGAUUGCCAGUCUUUACAUGUCAUUUACUAACAUUAUUUACCUCUCACAUUCUCUAAUGGAUAUGAUAAGCUAAACCCCAAAAUAUUUCCCCCUUUUCUCACUUCAGAAAUAUGUACUCUUAUUACUCGGUUAUUCACCCUUUUGUGGUUUAACACCUUCCUUUGCAUGUAUCACACAAAUAUGGAAUACAACAAUUUCUGGAUGUAGGACUUCAUCUAAGUUGUAUACUCUAUUAUCCUCAUAACCUACCCCAAAAAUGACUGAUACCUAGCACUUUUAUAUACACACUCACAAGUCUUGCAGGAUAAUUCCAAAAUUUAAGGGAGGCUCCCCAAAGACAGGAAUAAAUUACAUUGCCAAGCCAUCUUGGAAAAAUCGAGAUUACAACGCCUUUUGGGUAAAAACAUAGUACCUAAACUAACUUUAGCCAUGUCGAGUAUUGAACCUAGAUACCCCCUCAUAAAACACCUAUCGGCUCUUUUAAACUUGAGUGUAAAGUUGGAUAUUUUUUAUUUAAUAGUAAAUUUAAAUUAUUACUUCUUCUGAUGGCUUGGCUAAGCUGUCAUUGCUUGACACUAGUAGAUUACUAAAAUUAGCGUUCACAUUAUAUAUGUGUUUGUUUUUCAAAGUAGUUUAACAAGGUUGUUAUUCAACACCCAACUUAUAAGGCACAUGAAGCCAAUGGUAGAUCAAUAAUUUCUUCCUAUGAUGAUAGGAAUCGUGUCUUGUCGUUACUAAAGUAAAGAAUACCGAUCACUUUUUGCAAAUAUGGUUUUGAAAAUAGUUUGCGUUUCAGAAGAUGCUAUUUGGACACUUUUCUAUCACAUCCAUUCUUAGUUUUUUAGACCAAACUUGAUCUGCACUACUGUUUCGGAACUCGUGCUCCUUUUCUCGCCUCAUCCAAAUAUUGGCACUCGUCGGUUAACACAAUUAGAUGCCUAUUCAACUAUAAUUUUAGACCGCCCUUUUAUGCAAAUUAUUUAUUCCCUUGCUUGCGUCUCGAGUCAUCUUUCUCUCUCUCUCUUCUUCCUCUCCUCUUAUAAGAGGGAUUUAUUUUGAAGUGAUGAUAUUAUAUAUUAAUAGCAUAUAUAUAUAAAUUGGAUCCUAAUUCUAUACCAAUAGGUUUAUAUAACCUCUAUUCCUCAUACCUUAUCUACUCCAUAUAACACAUGUUAAGGUUUUGUAAACUUUACAAAAAAAGUAUUUAUGGCACUCAAGCAGGUCUAGGUCGAGCCAAUGGAUUUUCUACUAUCGGAAAAUAACUUCUUGUACGGGUCUUCUAAUUUUCUGGAUAUUAUCAUGUUCAGCUCUCAAACUUUAUUUCCAUAUAUUUUUAUGUAAACUAUGUAUAUAUCAUUUCCAACUUUUCUCAUUUUCUACUUAUUUCUAUCGUUCUAUAAUAAAUCCCUUUCUUUUGACUCUCCGCUGGUAUCUGUUGUAUAUCUGCUCUUCUCGCUUACUUAUGAGUCUCUUGUAUUCCAUUUGAAUUUCUUUAUUGUUAUUUAACAGUCUUUCCCUGGUGUAUUUCCCUGAUGUUCAAAAUGCGGUAACCGAUGUCACCAGAGACCACUUUGUUCAAGAGAAAAAUUAGUAACAAGGAGUUUAGUCUAGAUUAAUGAGUGGUUUCUCCUCGUUUCAUUAUUUUUCUUCACUCUCUUACGUACAGUUCUCCGUGAUAAGAGACCGUGAAGGUCCCUUCUACAUUUACUUCCUUGGACUGGAACUCUCUCCUCUUCGGUAACAUCAUUGUGCAAUAAUUUUCCUUACUCAAUCAACGCAAUUACACUCUGGGAGAUAGAUAUAACAAGACUUUCUUAGCAAAAAACAGGUAUGCCGCUUAAACCUUCCCCCUAGGGGCAGCUGCCAUUAGCAGAUAUAUUUAUCCUCUAUUCAAAAACUCUAUUUGUACUGAUUCACCUCUAUUUUCAUGAUUAUCUUAGAUUGCCUAAAUAUUAGAAGGUUCAUUUCAAUCUUCAAAGUUCUCAGUAAGGAAACAGUCACUCUCUAAUAUGUUAAGGACCAAAAUACUAAUUUCUCGUAUAAUAAUCCUGACAUUUCCUGGGUCUUAAUUUUCACUGUAUCACAGAGCAUUCUUAGUUAGUUUCGUUUUCAAACCUACUGACAAUUCAUUUUAGGCUGCUAUGCGGAAUCCUUCAAAUGGGUUUAUUUUAUACAUCUUGAAACUCGGUGCUCAGGGUUUAUUUAUAUCAUACCGAAGUGUAAUGCGGAGGAAUUCGUAGUUUCUUGCGUAUUUUGUGCAUAUCUUUGUAGUGGUGACUGUAUGCCAAGGUUUGGUUGGAUUGGAAGAAAUUAAAUACUUCAACCAAAAAGAAGAGCCAAACUCUUAAGACACCCAACACACGCAGAUCUACAACUGGAUAGAGCAAAUUCAAGUUUUAGAUUUAGUCAAAAUAUCGCUUUGUCUUUUCGUGAGAUGCUACAAAUCCAUGAUCAUUUCCUGGAAAUUCCAAAAAAACAGGUAGAAUUCAAACGGACUGUUUUCCCGUUACCAGCUCUGAGCCUAAAUAUUAGAUAUGCGCUGUGUGAAUUUCAGUGUGCCAAAAAUUGAUGAGCACUUAUUGCCCCGAAGAUCUAAUGGUAUAGCAUUAUCUUAAUCUUUUUUCUCCAAGAAAAAAUCAUUGCCGCAAUUAUCUUGUUCCAGGCAUUUAAGUUAAACCUUUCUCAUUGCAUCUUUUUAAGAUGAUUGUGAAAUUAAAACCAUUUCUGUUUGCCUACAGGUUUUCGCGCUUUUUAAUUGACGAACAAACAGCAACAGUUCUUUCACUUGGCCCACUAGAUUAAUCCCCGAAGCCGUUAUCCAUUUGAAAAUAGCUCCUCAAGGAAACUUAGCACACCAUCGAACUAUUUUUAUAAACUCCAGGUACUUAUGCUCACCAUACUCUGGUUUAACUAUAACAGCAAUAGCAAAUGUUCAUUUUAUUAAAAGAUAAACUUGUCAGGUCUGCGAUCAAAACCAGCUAUUUCCUCACUUCACCCCAAUUCCAUUUGCUCUACGAAACUUAGACCUGGAGCUUUUUCCAACCAUUCAGACACAAAUCUUUAAUUUUGUUUAUCCGCUUCACAGGACCCUUGCUGCUUCCAUGCUAUAUUUUUCCAACUUCCUUACUUUGUCUUUGUCAAGCUUGGCAUGCUAAUAUGCUGCUGUACAUUAGUCCAGCUUGUUGGGGGCAGUAAUUAGCAAAACACUCUCCUCCCUCGUCCUCCUAGUCUAAUAGUCUUUGUUAUCCAAUUGAUGACAGCUGAGUCUCUGGAAGCUGCACUAUUUUUCCUCACAUAUUUUUGUAAGUCGCUAGAUCCAUCUGUAAUAUCACAAAUUUGUUUUUAAUGUGUAUUUACCGUGUUCUAAGCUACUUGCUUGUAAUAACUUAUUUUGAGCGACUCUUUUUUAUGCUCUAUAAUUUACACAACCAUCUUUUGUAAGACGUCUCUUGUGAUUAUGUACGGAUCAUUGAUAUUUAAUGAAAUAAUACAUUCAAGGUUCUCAUCGCAGUUUCACUACCAUUGCAUUUAAUCUUUAGAGUGUGUAAAACUCAUCUACUAUCUUUUUUUCUUUUUCAUUACUUAGCAAUUUAAAACUUGUCCCCUCCUGCAAAUUUAUCCUUACAUCCUUGUGUAUUUUAUAAUUAUAAUAGUAUAGCCGAAAUCGUUUACUCGAUAUAGUCAUAUAUAAAUUUUGUAUCUUUUUCAAAGACUUACAACAUAACGAUAUUGACUAUAUUUUUCCUAUCAGUCGUCGUGACUACCUCUCGCUCACUGAUCUAACUAGUAAAACCACCCGCGCCGUGUUCCCAGGCCUCUACGGUUCAACGUUUGCUUUUACUCCCUCCUCAGAUAGAGUGUCGAACCACUAAUUUAACCGUAUCACGGUCUCCCGUAAAGCACUCACGGUAUGCCCACUUACGCUCAGCUCAAUAGCUCUAGGCACACAAGUGAUUAUACAUUGUUAUACCAACUUCAACACUCGUAAAAAAAUUCAAAUUGUGUUAAUGGCCUUGUUGUCCAGAAUGUUGGAACAACGAGAGUGAAUAAGGGAGGAUUUUUCUCUUGUGCACUUGUAAAGAUCAUCAAGGGGAUAUCCAUAUUGAUUUGUGGUUUCUUAUUUAGAAUAUUGUAGGAUAGGUCUGGAGUGGCUGUGGUGGCAAGACCGUAAAAAUUGCAUAGUGGAACACAUCACUCACAGGGGAACUCGCCCGUGUAACAAUAGGACGCCCGUGGAAACGUUGGGACUGGUAAGUACUUCCAUCCCCAUUGUUAAGGAAAAACAUAAUAUACCAGUUGUUUGUCACUCUCUUCCAACAUUAUAUCAAUACGAUCUCACCAACCUGCAUCAAGGUACCCUCGACGUUUCCACCUAUUUUACCAAACUCACAUCUCUUUGGGAACAAAUUGACGCAUUUCGACCAACUCGGGAUUGUACUUGUGCUAUUCCAUGCACUUGUGGCGCUGCCUCGGAUCUUCAUCGAUACAAAGAUCAAGAUCGUGUUAUCAAGUUUCUUAAGGGCCU
rnacentral:lncRNA from 1 species